UACGUAGGUGGCAAGCGUUGUCCGGAAUUAUUGGGCGUAAAGCGCGCGCAGGCGGUCCUUUAAGUCUGAUGUGAAAGCCCACGGCUCAACCGUGGAGGGUCAUUGGAAACUGGGGGACUUGAGUACAGAAGAGGAAAGCGGAAUUCCAUGUGUAGCGGUGAAAUGCGUAGAGAUGUGGAGGAACACCAGUGGCGAAGGCGGCUUUCUGGUCUGUAACUGACGCUGAGGCGCGAAAGCGUGGGGAGCAAACAGG
rnacentral:rRNA from 1 species